rnacentral:rRNA from 1 species
CAGCAGCCGCGGUAAUACGAAGGGUGCAAGCGUUACUCGGAAUUACUGGGCGUAAAGCGUGCGUAGGUGGUGGUUUAAGUCCGUUGUGAAAGCCCUGGGCUCAACCUGGGAAUUGCAGUGGAUACUGGGUCACUAGAGUGUGGUAGAGGAUAGUGGAAUUUCCGGUGUAGCAGUGAAAUGCGUAGAGAUCGGAAGGAACAUCUGUGGCGAAGGCGACUAUCUGGGCCAACACUGACGCUGAGGCACGAAAGCGUGGGGAGCAAACAGGAUUAGAUACCCGAGUAGUCCCUGUCUCUUAUAC